AUCUGCUCAUGGAUUCAGAUGUUGGUAAAUGGGCACAUUUGUGUGAGCAUAAACAACAUAAACACACACAUUAGUGUGCCACUCUGCAGCACCUCUCAGCAGGUGGAAAAAAUCUGAUCCAAUCAGCAGCACCCUCAACUCAGGAAAUAUAAGGAAUCCACCAAACAUUUGACUGGUUUGGCAACAGAGCUGAGGAAGGAAARCACAGUCUCUAAAGCAGCAUUUCAUGGGAAAGGACUUAGAUUAAACAAGGACUACCGGUUUUUCACCUAUUCAUUGAUUCACACUCACUGGUGAAAAUAAAAAAGGGUUGAGUGAAAUCCUGAAGUCUACAAGUCCUCCUUUUCAAGUGUGGGAAGCCAUGAAAUUAAAGAACACUUGACAACCAUCUAAAAUGAGUAUCGGAUCGGAUCAAUACUAGACAUUCUAUUUCAAUGCCACCUAGACAAAACUCAACAGUCAAGGAGAAGACAGAAUGAUGUGCAGAAAACACGAGCCAGAGCGACGGCGGCCCAUUUUCUGAGCGCUCCAAUAAAACAUGAGGCUUGUCUUGUCAGAUUAUCCUGACACCCUGUGUCAGAAUCCCUGCCACGUCUUCAUGAAGCUGAGUAGCAGAUGUCCUGAGCUUGCUUUCCUCCUCUGGAUGGAACUGUCAAGAUUUGCUCUUGAAGGGCACUGAAGACAGCACAGAAGGAACAAAUUAGGAGACUGAAGUUUUUUCUUUUCUUUUCUUUCUUUUUUUUUUUACUGAUAGGAAUACCAGUUCCAAUAUCACAAGAAACAAUGUUCUUCUAUGAACAGUGUUGUGUUUUAGAUCACGACARGGGCGGAGCUAGACUUUUUUUGCAAGGGGUGACCAAAGUGGGUUUUUUUUAGGGGGCACAUAUAAAUAAAGACAAGCACUCUGGAUUUUAAACAUUUAAAUGGCCACCUCAGCUAAUUUCUUUUAAAGAAAUAUUGAACUGAAAUUUUGUACGAUUAUAGCUAAAGAGUGAUCAAAAAMUAGUCACUAAAUGCKWGCUACAACKUAUAUUUCAGCCAUUUU